CACGCUCAGCUUCCUCGCCACCUCGUACUCCAUCCCAGCGAAGCGCAGCAGGAACCUCUCCUGGUUGAUGGAUUUCUUCAGGGCUUUGAUGGCCGAUUUGAGCUUUUUCUCCACUUUCUGUCGCAGGCAGUGCAGGUUGCAGCUGGCUGUGGUCUCCUCCGGUUUGAUCUCUGCCUCAAACUCCAGUGUGAUGCGCGUCACCUCCUUGCCGGAGGAGUUGCGAGCCCGGCG
rnacentral:lncRNA from 1 species